rnacentral:rRNA from 1 species
AGUGCAUGUGGCGGAUGCCUUGGCGAUCACAGGCGAAGAAAGACGCGGCAGCCUGCGAAAAGCUGCGGGGAGCUGGCAAACGAGCUUUGAUCCGCAGAUAUCUGAAUGGGGGAACCCACACCGCAAGGUGUAUCCGUAGCUGAAUACAUAGGUUACGGAGGCGAACGAGGAGAACUGAAACAUCUAAGUAUCCUCAGGAAAAGAAAUCAACCGAGAUUCCGGCAGUAGCGGCGAGCGAACCCGGAGGAGCCCAGCUUUUGAUAGUACGAACUUUAGCCGAAAGGUCCUGGAAAGGCCUGCUAUAGUGGGUGAUAGCCCCGUAGGCGAAAGAGUUGGUACGGUACUAAGGAAGCGAGAAGUAGAGCGGGACACGUGGAAUCCUGUUCGAAGACGGGGGGACCAUCCUCCAAGGCUAAAUACUCGUGAUCGACCGAUAGUGAACCAGUACCGUGAGGGAAAGGCGAAAAGAACCCCGGGAGGGGAGUGAAAUAGAACCUGAAACCGCAUGCAUACAAACAGUAGGAGCCUCGUCAGAGGUGACUGCGUACCUUUUGCAUAAUGGGUCAGCGACUUACAUUCUGUGGCGAGCUUAACCGAAUAGGGGAGGCGCAGCGAAAGCGAGUUCGAAAUGAGCGUUCAGUCGCAGGGUGUAGACCCGAAACCAGAUGAGCUAUCCAUGGCCAGGUUGAAGGUGUGGUAACACACACUGGAGGACCGAACCGACUAGUGUUGCAAAAUUAGCGGAUGAGCUGUGGAUAGGGGUGAAAGGCUAAACAAAUCUGGAGAUAGCUGGUUCUCCCCGAAAACUAUUGAGGUAGUGCCUCGUGUGUCGCUCCAGGGGGUAGAGCACUGUUUUGGCUAGGGGGACAUGGAGUCUUACCAAACCAAGGCAAACUCCGAAUACCUGGAAGCGUGAGCACGGGAGACAGAGCACCGGGUGCUAACGUCCGGACUCAAAAGGGAAACAACCCAGACCGCCGGCUAAGGUCCCAAAUAACAGCUAAGUGGAAAACGAAGUGGAAAGGCCGUGACAACCAGGAAGUUGGCUUAGAAGCAGCCAUCCUUCAAAGAAAGCGUAAUAGCUCACUGGUCGAGUCCUUCUGCGCGGAAGAUGUAACGGGGCUAAGCUGUUAACCGAAGCCGCGGAUGCGCUGGUUAUCCAGUGCGUGGUAGGGGAGCGUUCUGUAAGUCUGCGAAGGCGGUUCGAGAGGACUGCUGGAGAUAUCAGAAGUGCGAAUGCUGACAUGAGUAACGUUAAAGCAGGUGAAAAGCCUGCUCGCCGUAAGCCCAAGGAUUCCUGCUCUACGUUCAUCGGAGCAGGGUGAGUCGGCUCCUAAGGUCAGGCCGAAAGGCGUAGCCGAUGGGAAUCAGGUUAAUAUUCCUGAACCUGCGUCAGAUGCGAUGGGGGGACGGAGCAUGGAAGAUCAUCCGGGUGUUGGAAGUCCCGGUUGUUGAGCGUAGGAGGUCUGCAGGCAAAUCCGCAGACGCAUCUCCAAGGCAAAGACACGUGCCGCCACGGCGGCGAAGUGAUCGGAAGUGCUUCCAAGAAAAGCCUCUAAGCCCCAGUCUGACGCGGACCGUACCGCAAACCGACACUGGUGGGCGAGCUGAAUAUGCUCAGGCGCUUGAGAGAACUCGGGAGAAGGAACUCGGCAAAUUGACACCGUAACUUCGGAAGAAGGUGUGCCGUAGUACCGUGAGAGGAGAGACACCUUGAGCGGGAAACGGUCUCAGAGAAUAGGUGGCUGCGACUGUUUAUUAAAAACACAGCACUCUGCAAAGUCGAAAGACGACGUAUAGGGUGUGAUGCCUGCCCGGUGCUGGAAGAUUAAUUGAUGGGGUGAGAGCCCUUGAUCGAAGUCCCAGUAAACGGCGGCCGUAACUAUAACGGUCCUAAGGUAGCGAAAUUCCUUGUCGGGUAAGUUCCGACCUGCACGAAUGGCAUAACGAUGGCCACACUGUCUCCUCCUGAGACUCAGUGAAGUUGAAGUGUUUGUGAUGAUGCAAUCUCCCCGCGGCUAGACGGAAAGACCCCAUGAACCUUUACUGUAGCUUUGCAUUGAACUGUGAACCGAUUUGUGUAGGAUAGGCGGGAGGCAGUGAAGCGAGGCCACGCCAGUGGUCUUGGAGCCGACCUUGAAAUACCACCCUGAUUUGUUUGCGGUUCUAACCACGGACAGUGAUCCUGAUCUGGGACCGUGCAUGGUAGGCAGUUUGACUGGGGCGGUCU